GAUGAAGAACGCAGCGAAAUGCGAUACGUAGUGUGAAUUGCAGAAUUCAGUGAAUCAUCGAAUCUUUGAACGCACAUUGCACCUCUCGGUAUUCCGGGAGGUAUGCCUGUUCGAGCGUCAUUUGUACCCUCAAGCUCUGCUUGGUGUUGGGUGUUUGUUCCGCCUCUGUGUGUGAACUCGCCUCAAAACAAUUAGCAGCCGGCGUACUUGUUUCGGAGCGCAGCACAUUUUGCGAUCCAGAUCAACGUACAGCGGCAUCCAAGAAGCCUUAUUUAACGCUCUUGACCUCGGAUCAGGUAGGGAUACCCGCUGAACUUAAGCAUAUCAAUAAGCGGAGGA
rnacentral:misc_RNA from 1 species